rnacentral:rRNA from 1 species
UACGGAGGGUCCAAGCGUUAUCCGGAAUCAUUGGGUUUAAAGGGUCCGUAGGCGGUUUUGUAAGUCAGUGGUGAAAGCCCAUCGCUCAACGGUGGAACGGCCAUUGAUACUGCAAGACUUGAAUUAUUGGGAAGCAACUAGAAUAUGUAGUGUAGCGGUGAAAUGCUUAGAGAUUACAUGGAAUACCAAUUGCGAAGGCAGGUUACUACUAAUGGAUUGACGCUGAUGGACGAAAGCGUGGGGAGCGAACAGG